rnacentral:rRNA from 1 species
UACGGAGGGGACUAGCGUUGUUCGGAAUUACUGGGCGUAAAGCGCACGUAGGCGGAUUUGUAAGUCAGGGGUGAAAUCCCGGGGCUCAACCCCGGAACUGCCUUUGAUACUGCGAAUCUCGAGUCCGGAAGAGGUGAGUGGAAUUCCUAGUGUAGAGGUGAAAUUCGUAGAUAUUAGGAAGAACACCAGUGGCGAAGGCGGCUCACUGGUCCGGUACUGACGCUGAGGUGCGAAAGCGUGGGGAGCAAUAGG